rnacentral:rRNA from 1 species
CCUACGGGAGGCAGCAGUGAGGAAUAUUGGUCAAUGGCCGCAGGGCUGAACCAGCCAAGUCGCGUGAGGGAUGACGGUCCUAUGGAUUGUAAACCUCUUUUGUCAGGGAGCAAAGGGCGCCACGUGUGGCGCUUUGCGAGUACCUGACGAAAAAGCAUCGGCUAACUCCGUGCCAGCAGCCGCGGUAAUACGGAGGAUGCGAGCGUUAUCCGGAUUUAUUGGGGUUAAAGGGUGCGCAGGCGGAAUGUCAAGUCAGCGGUAAAAUUUCGGGGCUAAACCCCGUCGUGCCGUUGAAACUGGCGUUCUUGAGUGAGCGAGAAGUAUGCGGAAUGCGUGGUGUAGCGGUGAAAUGCAUAGAUAUCACGCAGAACUACGAUUGCGAAGGCAGCAUACCGGCGCUCAACUGACGCUCAUGCACGAAAGCGUGGGUAUCGAACAGGAUUAGAUACCCCUGUAGUC